GUGGGUAUAGUUCAGUGGUAGAGUGCCAUCUUAGCAUGCAUGAGGUCCUGGGUUCAAUCCCCAGUACCAUCA
rnacentral:tRNA from 1 species